rnacentral:rRNA from 1 species
GGUCCUGCCUGCCCUGUGACAAUGUUUAACGGCCGCGGUAUUUUGACCGUGCGAAGGUAGCGUAAUCAUUUGUCUUUUAAAUGAAGACCCGUAUGAAAGGCAUCACGAGAGCUUAACUGUCUCUAUUUUCUAAUCAAUGAAAUUGAUCUUCUCGUGCAGAAGCGAGAAUAUAUACAUUAGACGAGAAGACCCUAUGGAGCUUUAAACACUUAAAUUAAUUAUGUAAAAACUAUUAAUCCACGGAGACAAAUUACUUAUAUAAUAUUAUCUAAUCUUAACUGUUUUUGGUUGGGGCGACCGAGGGGAAAAUAAAAUCCCCCUUAUCGAUUGAGUACUUAGUACUUAAAAAUUAGAACGACAGUUCUUUUUAAUAAAACAUUUAACGAAAAAUGACCCAGUUUUUUUGAUGAACGAACCAACCUACCCUAUGGAUAACAGCGCAUUCCUUUCCAAGAGUACAUAUCGACGAAAGGGUUUACGACCUCGAUGUUGGAUCAGGACAUCCUAAUAGUGCAACCGUUAUUAAGGGUUCGUUUGUUCAACGAUUAAUAGUCCUACGUGAUCUGAGUU